GGCUUCUCCGAGCUAGAUCCACUGGAAAACCCUACUCCGACGCGACCGCGAAGCUCGCCCCGCCGUAGCCCGUAGCCUCGCUGCCGGCGCGAGCUUGUCGGCGGUAAUGUCGAUCCGAAUGGCUUGAUGGUGCUGCACGUGGCGAGAGCGUCCAUGCGCUUCACCGAUGCUGAUGCAGGUCCAUCCAUGCGGAUGUGGCUGACCGGGCCUCAGCCUGCACUGUUCCCCCGCCGACUGCCGACUACGCACCUACGUUGCAGUUCACGAGGGGGCCGCCAUCCGGCCACGGGCGAUGGACUCUACGAAGAUACUAUAGUGCCGCCGUCACCUUGGCCGGGGAUGCCGCCACGGCGCCACCGCUGCCCGGCCGGCCGACAGGCCACGGCAACCUGUAGAACCCGCUUCAGUAAUCAGGUACUUGUACAAAGGUUUGGUAUCAUGGUGUGCCGGGCAGAAAAGAUAAGUGGUCCUUGGUUUUGAACUUUUGAUCCAAAGUUCAUGAGGCCAUCAUGAUAAAGGCAAAACUACAGCCUUUGGUGCUUGAAGUUUCAAAGUUCCAUUCCUCCUUUCAUCUGGGCACUCAUCGUUAUCGACUUAUCGUCGUAUGGAGCAGCUCAAAGUGUUUGCAUGGUACCAGAAGACCCAACGCCGAUGCAACAUGCACCAGAAUUUGCCAUGACGUCCAAGUGCUACCGCUGGCACACCCUUUGUUCUUAGAAGUAACCUCUGCAUCUUCUAUUCGUUUUCUUCAGUACCACACCUUCCACACUCCAUGUUUGAUGUGCAUAGCUGCUACUGAAAGUCUGAAACCCUGUUGCACGAUGCAAAACUGGCCCCGUACCUGGGAGCACUGUGCCGUUGUCCUGGAGCUCUGAAUUCGCCAA